UUAAAAGUUUCCGAAAAUGAAUCAAACCCUAAAGACAUGUAUCUCCCUCCUCGUACCCUAUCGCUUCUCAUCGGCUCCAUCAUGCUUCCGCCGCCCGCAGCCCGUCGCCUGCCGGCGGCGGUGAUGCUCUGAUGGACCCCAAUUUUACACCAUUGAAUCCCCGUCUCCUCCUAUUUCCAAAUCCCCAAAUCCCAUCCCUCGAAUCCUAGCCUAUAUUUUCAAAUCUUAGAUCAAAAUGCCGUCUUAAAACCUUACUUGCUCCAAAAUCCACCAAAGUUUCAUCACAUAACCUUCUCAUCUUCCUCUUCACAAAUCCGUGGCUAGUUUCUUUCAAUUUCACCUGGCCGUCUCAAAUUUGAAAUCUAGGGAUGCUGAAGUCAAGUCUGUUUUGGGAGAUUUUUUGCAAGUUUGAAUGUUUUUUACAGUAAGUGUUCCUUAGUUUUUUAUUUCUAUUAGUGUAGUUUAGCUUUUCUUUUUUUUCUUUUCCUUUCAAUCCAGUUGGUUACUAGAAGCUUGGCUCAUAGUUUGAUUCUGAUUUAGUUUUAGUUUAACUUGGUGUUAAUCUUGUUAUAGUAGUUUAGUUUUGUUAUAACUUCAUAGUUCAUCAGUCCUUGUUAGGGUUUAAUUGUUAGUAUAUGUGCCCCUAUUCUUUUUUACACCGAUUUGGUUUGGCAUAGAUGUUGGUUUAAUUUUAUGCCUGAUCGAUUCUGUAUUAGUUUAAUUUUGUUUUGAUUCAUUAUGAUUAGUUGAUUUUUGGAUAAUAGUUAAUUGGGUUCCACAUCUUUAGGAUACAUGAUACUAAUAGUUGAUUGUUUGAUUCUGGAUUUAGCUUGACUAUAGUUAGUUGUCUAAUCAACCAUGGGUAAAGGUUUGGUUUAGUUAACUGAGGUAGUAAUUUCAGGGAGGAAAUAAGGGUAGUUUAGGCAUGGAAAAGUAUAGUUUGGUUAAGAAUAGUGAUUCCAAAAUGAAAGCAAGGGUAGUAUAGGUAUUGUAUAGGUAGAAGAACACACUAAGGCCUUCUAGAAUAGGACUUUAGUAUACAUUUUAGUACAAUAGAGGUAGUUACAUGGGUAGCAAGUUAAUAAAUAAGGGACUAAAGUAAAAGAAGAAGAGGGACUGAAAAGAAAACCAAAAAUCUGAUUGUUCACCCUUAUGGUGCCUAUAAAUUGGCAUUCUCAUGCCUUAGGGAGGUAUCUUCUUUUUAGCCAACAAAAAUUUCCCAAAUACUCUCUAGUUACAGGUUCAAAAGGAGAUCUAAAAUCUGAAAUUUCUUUUAGUUUAAGCUUUUCUAAAGAAAAGCUAAAAAAACAACAAAAACUCUGAAAAGCCAAAAGAAAAACGUAGUUCCAUUGCUUUUUCUCUUAGAUUAUUUUCCUAUUCUAGCUUAGUUCAAUUCUUUAAUCCUCUUAAUAAACUUAAAAUAGCUCAAAAUAUGUUGUUUCUGUUCAAAAUUUGAAGUUUGAAAGUCACUGGAAUCAUUUGAGCACUAUUAUUGGGUUCUUCAAUGGGAUUUGGGUUGUUUGAGUUGGAUGCGGUUUGCUGGGUCUAUUUCUGAGCAUUUUGGUACUAAUUUUGGGUUAUUCUGUGAUCCUAUUUGGUUUUGAAACAAUCCUGAGGCUUAGAGCUUGUUUCUGAAUUGCUGCUACAUGGUUAUUGCAUCGGCUCGCCUAUUCUCUUUUGUUAUUUCACCUUUCCAGGUACACACUCGAAAUUCAGCUGUAACUCCAAGCUUGAAAUGGAAUAAAAUUUCCCACCUAUUUGAUCCUGAGAUCUGCCUGCUAGUUGUUACAUAUUCAUAGUUAGAUAGAUAUUAUAAGCGUUGUUUAAUAUAGUUAAGUGUCAAUUGGUUGUGUAUAAACUGUGGACCGUGUGGACUAUCACUCUUACUCUUGAUUGAAUUUCUUAAGUAAGAGCAGACGUAAUUAUUUUUGAGCCAAAUUACAGAGUGAUCUAAUUUCAGGCAUGCUUCAGUUAAAGGUGUUAGUUUCAUGAUAUGUUAAUGGCAUCGUUUCGUAAAGGAUUUAUUAAAUCGUUUCUGAUUUGUGUAAGAAAUAGGACAUAACGUUAACAACCUACUCACAACUUACGUUCAAUUGCCAUGCCAAUUUAAAGUAUAUGAGUUUUUUUUACCUUAGUUCCAGAUUUUCUUUUUACCUUAGUGAUAUCUUGUAACUCGUCAAAAGUUAGAAUAUAAAAUAAUCUGAGUUAAAUUUGAAAAUUAAGUUGAUCAUUGUUGAGUCAAUCUGAAUAGGCGCAUGUUGUUUCCUCCGUUACAAACGUGUUGAAUGAUUUUUUAUAACUGUGGUGGACGUCUGGGUCUACACUGAACUGAGGCUUCACUUGAUUCAGCUAGCACCCUUACAGCGGGCACUUGGGCUUAAAUGCAUCAAUAAGCAGCCCAGGCCCUACUGAUUUCUUCACAUGACCCGUGUCCAAGAAAUUUGAACGCAUGUGUUCAUGGACUCCAAACAUAUUUGAUUCCACAACAACCCAAUUCGUUAGGAUCUCUUUUUAUUUAUUUUAGAGACAAACAAAAGUAGAAAAUCGUAGUCAGUUUUAGGUUGGCCCUUUAAUAAAAUGUUGAGGCGUGCCUUAGUCAAAUAAAAAUACAAAAUGUGGGGCCCUCAUUAAAUAGUUAUUAAAAUACUUAGAAUUUGGGAGCACCGUUUAGUGAACUUAACGGCUUUUUCCAAAAUAAUAAUACGCUAGACUCUUUAGGCGUGAUUUAAUUAAAUUAUUCUCUUAAACUUUGGUGCGCAUUGAUGCGCCCAAAUCCAAAUCUCAACGGAGUCAAAUGUGUUAACAACCACAGGUGCAUUGAUUGCGACGUGGUUUGAGAUGCAUUUUCACGAUAUUACAAUUCUUUUAAAAUAAUUAUAAAAGCGGUUUACGAAUAAAAGGCAUAUUUUGGCAUGUAUUAAAAUCAGAUAAAAUCAAAUUCAUUAGUUGAGCGAGCGUGCUAGAACCACGGAAUCCGGGAAUGCCUAACACCUUCUCCCAGGUUAACAGAAUUCCUUAUCGGAUUUCUAGUUCGCGGACUGUAAUACAAGGUCAUAUUUUUCCUCGGUUCGGGAUCAAACUGGUGGCUUGGGACACCAUCAAUCUCCCAAGUGGCGACUCUGAAAUCUUAAUAAUAACUGCAUAUUUCGAUUGUCCUUUAAGUGAAAAAACUUCUUUACACCGUUGCGGGUUGUAGGUAAAAAGGAGGUGUGAUAGCUUUGGCGACUCUACUAGGACAAGAACCUAGAAUAUUUUGUUCAGGGUUCAGAAUUUGAGCUUAGAUAAAUUGUUUUAUUUGGUUAUAUUAGAUUUUCCUCCAUGUUUUGUACUGAAUGUGCUAAAUGUUACUGCUUUGAUAUUUUCUGUACUGUAUAUAAACUGUGUCGAUACUCUUCUCUUCUCACCUCCGGGUAUGUGCUUACUGGUUGACACUCUCUAUUCUGUUAGUGUCAUACCCUGAAAUAAGAAAGACACCGGACACGUUAUGAAGCCGGAUGGUCUUUCGGUUCCCGGUAAGUUUCCCCCUACUCGAGUCGCGUUGUCUGCUCGGGUCGGGAUUUUGAACACAAAGUAAUGUGACUUCAUGCUAGAUCCCUAGUAGUAACGCUUAUUUGCAUCAUGUUGCAUUUGCCUUAGGGGACUAAACACAGGUGUUGGGUCCGUCUAGGACUAGCAACCUGAAAUAAAUAGACCAUCUUGAUGCAUCUUAUUUAUUUUUCGUGCAUUUAUUUGUCUCGGGCCCGCAUGUUGACAAGCUUUUGAAUAUCAAGAAUUUUGUGAAAUUAAGAAACCAAUGUCUAAUUACUGUCGAAGAUCUACCGAAAUUUGAAAAACAAAACAAGAUGUUUUAUUUUUAAUAGUUUGUUUACUAAAAAGCAAA
rnacentral:lncRNA from 1 species